UCCAGACUCCUACGGGAGGCAGCAGUGAGGAAUAUUGGUCAAUGGGCUUACGCCUGAACCAGCCAAGCCGCGUGAGGGAAGACGGCCCUAUGGGUUGUAAACCUCUUUUGUCGGAGAACAAAACCCGGGACGUGUCCCGGACUGCGUGUAUCCGAAGAAAAAGCAUCGGCUAACUCCGUGCCAGCAGCCGCGGUAAUACGGAGGAUGCGAGCGUUAUCCGGAUUUAUUGGGUUUAAAGGGUGCGUAGGCGGUCCGUUAAGUCAGCGGUAAAAUUGCGGGGCUCAACCCCGUACUGCCGUUGAAACUGCAUCCCUUGAGUGCGCGAGAAGUAUGCGGAAUGCGUGGUGUAGCGGUGAAAUGCAUAGAUAUCACGCAGAACUCCGAUUGCGAAGGCAGCAUACCGGCGCGCAACUGACGCUCAUGCACGAAAGCGUGGGUAUCGAACAGGAUUAGAUACCCGGGUAA
rnacentral:rRNA from 1 species